GACGUAGGGCGCGAGCGUUGUCCGGAUUUAUUGGGCGUAAAGAGCUCGUAGGCGGCUUGUCGCGUCGACUGUGAAAACCCGCGGCUCAACUGCGGGCUUGCAGUCGAUACGGGCAGGCUAGGGUUCGGUAGGGGAGACUGGAAUUCCUGGUGUAGCGGUGAAAUGCGUAGAUAUCGAGAGGAACACCUGCGGCGAAGGCGGGUUGCUGGGCUGACACUGACGCUGAAGUGCGAAAGCUAGGGGAGCGAACGGG
rnacentral:rRNA from 1 species